GGUUCGCGUCUUACUUAACAAAAUACGGGUUAGUCGAUCCUAAGGGUCGGGAAGCCCGACAGACAGCGCGUUUUGCGCGUGCGCCGAAAGGGUGAAUUGCAGAAAAUUCCGUGAACCGGGACGUGGCGGUUGACGGCAACGAACGCCGGAGACGUCGGCGGGGGCCUCGGGAAGAGUUAUCUUUUCUGUUUAACCGAGGGCCGUCUGCCUGGAAACGGCGCAUCGCGUCGCCCCAGCGGCUGCCCCUCGGCCCACACUCGGGGCGCGGCUGGCUCAAAUGCCGGUGCCCCCCGGCGGACGAGCCGCGUCAGUGCGGCUGAACCGCGACCCCAGGUCAGGCGGGAUUACCCGCUGACAUAUCAAUGCCGUCCACGCCGGUUGUACUCAUAACCGCAUCGGU
rnacentral:ncRNA from 1 species